UACGUAGGGGGCAAGCGUUGUCCGGAUUUAUUGGGCGUAAAGAGCGUGUAGGCGGCUUUACAGGUCCGUUGUGAAAACUCGAGGCUCAACCUCGAGACGCCGGUGGAAACCGUAAAGCUAGAGUCCGGAAGAGGAGAGUGGAAUUCCUGGUGUAGCGGUGAAAUGCGCAGAUAUCAGGAAGAACACCGGUGGCGAAGGCGCACAUCUGGCCCGAUACUGACGCUGAGGCGCGAAAGCUAGGGGAGCAAACGGG
rnacentral:rRNA from 1 species